CCUGGUGGCUCAGAGGUUAAAGCAUCUGCCUCCAAUGCAGGAGACCUGAGUUCGAUCCCUGGGUCAGGA
rnacentral:tRNA from 1 species